rnacentral:tRNA from 1 species
AUCUUUCUAGUACUAAAGAGUAUAAGUGGCUUCCAACCACAUGGUCUUGGUUAAAGUCCAAGGAAAGAUA